CUAAAAAUGACACGUUAAAUGUUGUUGCAGAGGCGAUGGCAGUGCAGGCGAUCGAUUCCACGUCACUACACCCGCUCUCUAUCUCCAUGCCAUGGAAGAUCGCGGUCCUACUGGCGUGAGUACUCGCCUCCUCCCAAUAGAAAGCAUCACUCAAGGUCUAUUACACCUCACAGAAAUUGAGAAAAAGGCAAAGUCAUGUCAGGGACAGGUCUCCUCCACCUUGUAAUGGCUCAAGGAGCCCAUGCCCAGGUCC